UACGUAGGGACCAAGCGUUGUUCGGAUUUACUGGGCGUAAAGGGCGCGUAGGCGGCCUGGCAAGUGGAAGGUGAAAUCCCUCGGCUUAACCGAGGAACUGCCCUCCAAACUGCUUGGCUUGAGUCCGGGAGAGGUGAGUGGAAUUCCCAGUGUAGCGGUGAAAUGCGUAGAUAUUGGGAGGAACACCAGUGGCGAAGGCGGCUCACUGGACCGGAACUGACGCUGAGGCGCGAAAGCGUGGGGAGCAAACGGG
rnacentral:rRNA from 1 species